GAUUCCCCUAGUAACUGCGAGUGAAGCGGGAAAAGCUCAAAUUUAAAAUCUGGCGGCAUUUUGGCGUCCGAAUUGUAUUCUAGAGAAGUGUUACCCGUGCUGGGCCGUGUAUAAGUCUCCUGGGAUGGAGCGUCAGAGAGGGUGAGAAACCCGUGUUUGACACGGAGUGCCAGUGCAUUGUGGUAUGCUCUCAAAGAGUUGAGUUGUUUGGGAAUGCAGCUCUAAAUGGGUGGUAAAUUCCAUCUAAAGCUAAAUAUUGGCGAGAGACCGAUAGCGAACAAGUACCGUGAGGGAAAGAUGAAAAGAACUUUGGAAAGAGAGUUAAACAGUAUGUGAAAUUGUUGAAAGGGAAACGUUUGAAGUCAGUCAUGUUGGUCAGGGAUCAAGCUAGCAGGAAACUGCUGGGUGUACUUCCUGGGCAAUGGGCCAACAUCAGUUUUGAUUGCUGGAGAAAGGCAGAGGUAAUGUGGCACUCUUUUGAGUGUGUUAUAGACCUUAGUCAUAUACAGCAGUUGGGACUGAGGAAUGCAGCGCGCCGUAAGGCAGGGUUUCGACCACGUUCGCGCUUAGGAUGUUGGCAUAAUGGCUUUAAGCGACCCGUCUUGAAACACGGACCAAGGAGUCUAACAUGCCUGCGAGUGUUUGGGUUGAAAACCCUUGCGCGCAAUGAAAGUGAAAGUUGAGAACCUUCUG
rnacentral:rRNA from 1 species